GAGUCAUUUGCCGACCGUGUUUUUGGACAGGAGCACAACACAUUCCAUCCAACCCUGUAGGCUACUUUCCCUAAUCAUGUGUCUCUAUAUAGUCGCCGACACCGGAAACAGCUGUGUAUCCUAUUAUUCCUAGCACUUGGAUAACUAAGUUUUGGCAUUUUAAAGGUGGAUCAGUGUAAUAGUCUAUAUAAAAAAAUCUGUAUGAAAAAACACAUUUUUCACAACAACCGGCUGGAUGAUGCUGUGCAUGUGUGCGUAAAGUCUACAUUUUCUUCUGAACUUGGCGAUAAACGUCAGCUAUUCAAGUCGUCUGAGGUCAGAGGUCACCAGUCUUUGGUAGUUGUUACCAUGAAUGGAUCUGUGACAGCGGGAGAUCCUCUCCUGUGUGUGUGUGUCAAGGCGAUACAGGGAGGACUGUUAACCAUGUGCUACAGUGGCUAGGGUUCCCCAUCAUUCCCAGGGCCUCCCAUCACUGUCUUUCUGUCUGUGGUGCCACCCAUCACUGGCUGAGGAGGAGAGGGCCUCCCAUCACUGGCAGAGGAGGAGAGGGCCUCCCAUCACUGGCAGAGGAAGGAGAGGGCCACCCAUCACUGGCUGAGGAGGAGAGGGCCACCCAUCACUGGCUGAGGAGGAGAGGGCCACCCAUCACUGGCUGAGGAGGAGAGGGCCACCCAUCACUGGCUGAGGAGGAGAGGGCCACCCAUCACUGGCUGAGGAGGAGAGGGCCACCCAUCACUGGCUGAGGAGGAGAGGGCCACCCAUCACUGGCUGAGGAGGAGGAGGGCC
ensembl:lncRNA